AUGGAUUGGAAGGAAAUAUCGAUGUUGUUCACAUUCCGGGAGGAGGAAGGUGGGCUUACAGUGUUGGCAACAACUGAGACCUUGGACCAGAGGCUAAAUAGGGAUAAUGAUAGAGUUCUUCAAGCAUUAUUGAACAAGUUCUUUGACGUGUUUUCUGAAAUUAAUGGUCUUCCUCCGACUAGAAACACAAGCCACUCUAUUGUGCUGUUACAUGGUGCUGGACCUGUUAGUGUGCGACCCUACAAGUACCCUCACCAUCAAGACGAAAUUGAAAGAUAG